CCUACGGGGGGCUGCAGUGGGGAAUAUUGGACAAUGGGGGCAACCCUGAUCCAGCCAUGCCGCGUGUGUGAAGAAGGCCCUCGGGUUGUAAAGCACUUUCAGUGAGGAAGAACGCCUGGUGGUUAAUACCCAUCAGGAAAGACAUCACUCACAGAAGAAGCACCGGCUAACUCCGUGCCAGCAGCCGCGGUAAUACGGAGGGUGCGAGCGUUAAUCGGAAUUACUGGGCGUAAAGCGCGCGUAGGUGGCUUGAUAAGCCGGUUGUGAAAGCCCCGGGCUCAACCUGGGAACGGCAUCCGGAACUGUCAAGCUAGAGUGCAGGAGAGGAAGGUAGAAUUCCCGGUGUAGCGGUGAAAUGCGUAGAGAUCGGGAGGAAUACCAGUGGCGAAGGCGGUCUUCUGGACUGACACUGACACUGAGGUGCGAAAGCGUGGGUAGCAAACAGGAUUAGAUACCCCAGUAGUC
rnacentral:rRNA from 1 species